rnacentral:lncRNA from 1 species
GAGGCUGAGGGCGGCUGCCCGCUUCCAGCUGGGCUGUUGGUGGCCCUCCUCUCUCCCCCGGGCCUGGUGGCGAGCGGCCCCUCUGCGGCAGACAAGCUGCUGAAGGGAGGAGACGGGGUCAGAGAGGUCACACCAGCCCCCAGGGACCCACGGGGGCAGUGCGAGAAGCUGAUCGGCCCCUCCCUGGGGUCUUCGGUUCCCACGGCCAUCAUCCUGGGUCUCUGCAGGGCCGCCCCUGAGAGCAACAAGUGAGGUCAACUGCACUGGGCACCCGGGGAGGAAGCGAGGGCAAGAACUGGGGACUCACGCGGCCAAGGUCCUUCUGGAUCGAAUAUCUGGCAGUCAUGUGAUUAAAGCGUGGUGAGCUCCAGGCACGUAGCAGUGCAAACGGUCUGCCUUUAGCUGGUCUGGCUCUUCAGUCUGAACAAGGCCACGCAGGGUUGAAAACUGGUAACUUCACUCUGGGAAGUGUAUGUAGAAGUCCCACGGUGCGGGACUGCUUAGAAGUUGCCAGAACGUAUGAUUUCCCUUUAAUCACAGCAAGACCUGCCUGUCGGCUGUCGCUUCAGCAUCUUCAGUGUGCAGCUGGGGGUUUCCUUCCCACAUGACCCUACACCCCUUCCAAACGGGCCUAUCUGUAGACGAACUUCUCCCGCAGAGAAAAGAAGGCUUUCCCCAAGCACUGGGGGAGCCAGUGAGGCCCCGAGGCUGCAGAGCUGCAGGCGAUGGUGCCCCGUGGAUGUGUGGAGAGGCACCGAAGGGUCCAAGUCCUACAAACACUCGCUUAGAGACCCUGUGGCCCGGGUUCUCUGGGAGAGCAGUGUUGAGAGGCGCCGUCUUCCGGAUGGGGACGCACCAAGGGGAUGGGAAGUGGAAUCUGCCCUCAUACGUCCAGGGGCCCCUCUGGAUGUGGUACCCAGGACCAGCCACAGUGAUGAGAAUUCCCGGAUGCCCACGCUUACCACCAGCUUUUACCAGGAGGCUUUGGAGUUUCAGGACUGCCUAGGUCACCUUUGGAGUUCAGAGCAGGGUAAGCGUUUACUAACCCAGCAACCAUGUAACUGAUGUAUGAUUUAUUCCUCUAUUUCAUAUAAACUCAUCAUGUGUGUUUCUGAGGAUGGCCAUACACGAGUUCAGGGCGGCUCUAUCCGCCGACAUCUCCCUUGUGUGUUCCCGUGAGGCUGGAGGAGGCUGCAGGAACGCAGAAGUCUACCGCCAGCUUUCCAGCAGGACAUGGCCUACUGCUAACCGAAAGAGACAGGGAGCGAGAGGCCAGGACGAAAUUACAUCCUGCUCGGACGCUACCUCCCGGCAGUCUCUGAGGGCACAAGUUAAGGCCAGCAAGAGGUAAGAAAGAGGAACGAAAUGUGAGGAGUCCUCCUGUUUUAUCAGGGAAUUGACAUGAUAG